GUAGUAUUCCCUCCGUCCCAAAAUUAUUGUCUUACAUUUGUUUAGAUACGGAUGUAUCUAACACUAAAAUGUAACUAGAUACAUCCAUAUUUAGAAAAAUUUAAGACAAGAAUUUUGGGACGGAGGGAGUACAAA
rnacentral:pre_miRNA from 1 species